GGGGUGAGCACCGGAUCUUGGUCUGUGUCCCCCAGCGCCCUGCCCUCUGAGGCCUGCGCUGCUGGAGUCACGCUCCUGGGCUGCACAGCUCCCU
rnacentral:pre_miRNA from 1 species